rfam:Gossypium raimondii chromosome 7, whole genome shotgun sequence.
GAAUGAGAUGAUGAACUGAAUGUUUCCCUAUUGGUUUGAUUGCCGUGAUGAUGGCAUCUACAAUGUAUUAGCUCUAUCUGAUCAUUC